rnacentral:rRNA from 1 species
GACAGAGGUGCCAAGCGUUAGGCGGAAUCACUGGGCUUAAAGCGUGUGUAGGCGGAUUUGUAAGUACCUUGUGAAAUCCCACAGCUCAACUGUGGAACUGCUCGGUAUACUGCUUAUCUUGAGCCACUUUAGGGGCUGUCGGAACAAAUGGUGGAGCGGUGAAAUGCGUAGAUAUCAUUUGGAACGCCAAUGGUGAAAACAGACAGCUGGGAGUGAUGCUGACGCUGGAGACACGAAAGCCAGGGGAGCGAACGGG